ACCUGCUUCCCUUCGCGCGCGCGCACCCGCGGUGCCGAGCCCAGCCGGGAAGAGGCAGCGCGCUUGUCGGUGCAGCUCGCGCAGUCCCCGCUGGAAAUUCACCCACCUCUGAAGCCCGGCGUCUGGUGCAGGGCGGGCCCCUCCACGACCCGCGUCUCAGUUUCCGCGACGAUCUCUACGUGGUCCAGGAUGGCGCUUCUCAGCUCCCGCUCGCCCGUCAAGCCCACCGAGCAACCCUAGCGGGCGAGCAGGAGGGCAGCGGAGCGCGCGCGCGCACCCAGCCAGACACCGCGCGCGCACCCGGACCCUCGCACAAGGGCUGCACCUUUACAUACAAGCCGAAUCCCCGCCCCCGCCCCCGCCCCCUGGCACACAGGCAGUCCUCCCUCCCGACACCCAACUGCUCAGACCCCCCCCAUUCCUGAGCCCCUAGUCCCGCAUCCAGACACCCCCACUUGAUUCUGCUUCUAUCCACACACCGAGAAAAAUAAGGCACUUUCCUCCUGGCAUCCGCCCCUACUUUUGCCUAAACCAGCCCCCCCUGGGGAGGAAAGACCCCUAUCCUCAGGCAGAGACCCCGCUUCCUUAUUGCGGGCUCACUGGCCUCCAUCCCCCCACCACAGAUGCGCACUCGAAUCCUUUCUCCUCGCCCAAACCCCCUAAAAAGGAAGGAACACGCACACGCACACACACACACACACACACGCACACGCACACACAAGCGCACCCGGGGCGUUUCGCUGAGAGAGCAACCAAGAACCCAGGAAAAGCCAAAGAAACAUUGGAGAACCUGGAGGGAGGGGGACUUAGAGAUCCAGGGUCGUCCAGUCUACGCGGAAUUGAGUAAUUCCAGGACCGAAGGGGCUUUUGUCAUUUCAUGA
rnacentral:lncRNA from 1 species